UACGGGGGAGCAAGCGUUGUUCGGAUUUACUGGGCGUAAAGGGCGCGUAGGCGGUCAGCACAAGUCAGUUGUGAAAUCUCCGGGCUUAACUCGGAAAGGUCAACUGAUACUGUGCGACUAGAGUGCAGAAAGGGGCAACUGGAAUUCUCGGUGUAGCGGUGAAAUGCGUAGAUAUCGAGAGGAACACCUGCGGCGAAAGGCGGUUCUCUGGGACGGUACUGACGCUGAGACG
rnacentral:rRNA from 1 species